rnacentral:sRNA from 22 species
GCCCGUGCGAUAUGGUGGCGGUAUUGGAAACAACUGCAACGCUUCUGUAAGCGUAGGACACCUGUAGCUGUACGGGUUU